rnacentral:misc_RNA from 1 species
GAGAGAGAGAGAGAGAGAGAUAGAGAGAGAGAGAAUCCUAAUAUUUGGUUUGUUUUUGCUGUUAUUGUUGUUAAUGCAAAUGUUGUAAUCAUGAUCACUGUUGAUAAUAGUAAUCUUUUGUGCAUUUGAUUGCCUUUAUUUGUGAAGAAUAUUUUUUAGUGCUUCUUUUCUGUUCCUUGUUGAACAGUGCAACUCAAAUUCCUUUUGGGGUGCUUAGGUUGGCUGCUCUUCUUGUAUGGUCAUCUACCUUGAUUGCUUGAUAGAGAAAUCUGGCAUUCUAUUCCACAUUAACUCCUUAUCGCUUCCCUUUCGAGGUGAAUUUGUCUGUUUAUUUCAGGCCAUACUGGAGAUGUUAUUUCCCAAAUACUCAAGCUGUAAUCUAUGUAGUUGAUUCAAGUGAUACUGAUAGAAUUGGAAUAGCCAAAGAAGAAUUUCAUGCAAUUUUGGAGGUAUUUUCAUGGAUAGGCAUUAUUAAGUAAACCUAUUUUGCAUCAAUUUAUGAUAGAUAUGAGGAUAGCGUCAUAACUCUUGCUCUGUGAAAAGCUUGUUAUCCUUUGUUAAUUUUAGUUAAUUUGAAAGCUAUCUUAGCUGGUAAUGACUCAUGAGUUUUAUUGCUUGCUCUUAGAGGUUCUGAUAUCCCCUUCAAGUGGAAAAUAGUUUUAGACUUGAUUCUAAAAAACAAGGAGACCAACACAGGCAGUCGUUUAUGUUACCAUUGGCUAUAGAGAAUUUCAAUCAAUAUCGUUAUUGUCAAUUUGUUCUACUGAGAUGCAAAUUUUAUUAUAGUCUGCAAUGUAGAUGGACGUGAAUUUGGGUUAGACUUGCAGUUUGUUACGGAGUGCUUUGUGGCAAGGGGCUCCACUGAUGGGAAGCUUAGCAUGCUGCCAUUGGGACCAUAAGUUGCUGAGUUAUGUGAUUGUUUUUCCUUUCCUUAUACUCUAGGUUUUCAAAAUUAGGGAAAAACAAUAAUAAUGAAAGAGGGAAAAUAGAAAAUUUAAUUAAUAAAUCUGGUUGAUUUUUUGUCCUAUUGUGUAUCCUGAGAGGUGUACAUGUAAACGCACUAUCGUCUACUGGAAACUUGAAUAGUCUUUAUCUGUUUAAUAAGAAUAUUAGAAUUCCAAUUUUUUAAAAUUAACCUUUUUGCAGGAAGAAGAAUUGAAAGGUGCAGUUAUCCUCAUUUUUGCAAACAAGCAGGUUGAGAGCAUUUCCUCAUCUUCUACAAAUGAGAAAAAUAAGACCGUUCUUUUGUCAUAUCACAGGCACAGCCUACAAUAUGUUGAUUUACUGGUCAGCUUCCAAGACGGGCUUUCCAUUUUCUGAGUUUUGUAUAUACAAUAUGAGAUAAAAGUAUUUAAUCUAAUUUCCUUGUCUCAGUGACAAAAAGAUUUUCCAAUUAUUGGAAAUCCUCGCAACAUGUUGGACUUAUUGCUUAUAUGAGCAGGACCUCCCUGGUGCUCUUGAUGAUGCUGCUGUCACUGAGGCCUUGGAGCUGCACAAGAUAAAAAUCGUCAGUGGGCCAUCUUCAAGACAUGUGCUGUUAAGGGUGAAGGCCUCUUUGAGGGCUUGGACUGGUUGACUAAUACUCUCAAGUCCGGGGGUGGCUAACUUUGUCAGAUGAAGUCUUAACAUUAGCUCUGUCAAUGCAUGCUACGCAGGAGUUAUCUUAAUUGUUAUUGCCAUUGAUUUAUGCUUGGCAUGCAUUCAUUCCUUGUCAUGUUCUUUCUUCUUAUUGUCCUUUUCAUUUAUGGAGGUUUUAGGAGGGUGUUUGGUACGAGGUUAACGAGGAGUAGAUAUUAUCCUUGUAAUUUUUAAUCCUUAUUAAUGUUGUUUAGAUAUUUAAAAAGAGAAUAUGUUAACUUUUCUUCUCAUUAAUAUUUAUA